GAUCCUGGCUCAGGAUGAACGCUGGCGGCGUGCUUAACACAUGCAAGUCGAACGGACGAUGAAGAGCUUGCUCUUCAGAGUUAGUGGCGGACGGGUGAGUAACGCGUGGGUAACCUGCCUCAUACAGAGGGAUAGCAGCUGGAAACGGCUGAUAAAACCGCAUAAGCGCACAGCAUCGCAUGAUGCAGUGUGAAAAACUCCGGUAGUAUGAGAUGGACCCGCG
rnacentral:rRNA from 1 species